ACCCGUAUUUGAACACGGACCAAGGAGUUUAGCCUAUGCGCAAGUCAUUUGGUGGUAAACUUCAAUGUCGUAAUGAAAGUGAAGGUCGCUUUGAUGCGGCUGAUAUGGGAUCUGUAUGGUUGCGACCGUGCAGCGCACCAUAGCCCCGUCUUUGUAGCUUGCAAUAGGGCGGAGUAGGAGCGCAUAUGCUGAGACCCGAAAGAUGGUGAACUAUGCCUGAGCAGGAUGAAGCCAGAGGAAACUCUGGUGGAAGUCCGAAGCGGUCUGACGUGC
rnacentral:rRNA from 1 species